rnacentral:rRNA from 2 species
GUGGCCUCAAAUCAGGUAGGAUUACCCGCUGAACUUAA